rnacentral:tRNA from 1 species
GUGACUGUAGCUCAGUUGGUAGAGCGGCGGCCUGUGGAGCCGCAUGUCGCGGGUUCAAAUCCCGCCAGUCACCCCA